rnacentral:lncRNA from 1 species
AGAUCAGAGUCUCAACCCACAAAAUUGCAAAUGCGUCUACCCAUAUGAGGGAGUGAUGUUUUUCAGAGCACCUCUAUUCCGAGAUGUGACAAACAGCACACUGUUCCAAUCAUUGGAGAGCAGCCUGUGGAAAAAACUUGACCUUCCUCCUGGAUCAGUGUUUCUUCAAAACCCCUUUUUCAACAUUGACUCUUACCUGCAGGUACAAGUUAAAAUUUUCCCAUCCAGCGGAAUGUACUUCAACAGGUCUGAAAUUCUACAGAUUGGAUUCAAAUUGAGCAAUCAAAUAUACAAGCCGCCUGAAAUUUUCGGACCUUACUCUUUCAAAGCAUUCCAAUAUCCUUUCCCAGGUGACUUCUCCAUCCUUUAUGUUCAAAUAUAACUUAAGAUCAUUUCUUGUGCUGACUCAAUAAAUUAUCUAGGCGUCGAAGGAAAAUCGCCAAUAGCUAUUGGCUUGAUCAUUGGAAUAGCAGUUGGUUGUGCACUUCUGGUUGUUGGACUUCUUCUCGUAACAAUCUAUGCCUUGAGACAAAGGAAACAGGCUCAAAGGGCCAUAAAACUAAGCAAACCUUUCGGUAAGUGUACCUUAAACUUGUCAUAAUAAAAUCUAAAAAAAAAAAUCUGUAGAUACAAGGUGUGUCGCCGAGGGUGUCAUAUCGCAUCUCAGUUUAAUAAAGGACUAGGAACACAACUCUAAGCCAUGUGUAUAAGGAAAACAAAUUGUUAAACCAAAAAAAGUAAGAAGAAUUUCAUUCUGUACUGAAAAAAAUACAUGGAAACAUUUACCAUUUACAAGUACGUUUUGUGAAUUUCAGCAUCGUGGGCACACAGUGGUGAUGAAAUUGUUGAUGCACCACAAUUGAAGGGAGCAAGAUGGUUUUCGUACGAUGAACUUAGAAGAUGUACCAAUAACUUUUCAGUGUCUAAUGAAAUUGGGUCUGGAGGGUAUGGAAAGGUAACAUAUUGGUUUUCCUAUGUCAACCAUACAAUUAUAAACUUAGACAAGUGAUGUUUCUACCGACCUCCUCAGGUCUACAAGGGAAUGCUUCCAGGAGGGCAAGUAGUUGCAAUCAAGAGGGCACAGCAAGGAUCAAUGCAAGGUGGGCAUGAAUUCAAGACUGAAAUUGAGUUGCUAUCCAGGGUUCAUCACAAAAACCUGGUGGCUCUAGUGGGCUUCUGCUUUGACGAAGGGGAGCAGAUGUUGGUAUAUGAAUUCAUUCCAAAUGGAACAUUAAGAGAAGGCCUCUCUGGUAUGUUCAGCUGUACCCCUAAAAGUGAGUUAAUACUCUUUGUCAUAACUUUUUCUUCAAUGUCAACUUCAGGAAAGAGUGGGAUACUACUUGACUGGAGGAGGAGACUUCGAAUCGCACUGGGUUCAGCAAGAGGAUUGGCUUAUCUUCAUGAGCUUGCUGAUCCUCCAAUCAUCCACAGGGAUGUUAAGACAAGUAACAUCCUACUGGAUGAAAAGUUAAAUGCAAAGGUUGCAGAUUUUGGUCUCUCAAAACUAGUAUCAGACAACGAGAAGGGGCAUAUUUCUACUCAAGUAAAAGGAACAAUGGUUAGCAGUUGUUAUUUCAUUUAUCAGCAAAAAAUACUUCCUUCUAUCAGCAACAGAAUGUUCUUUUUCAUGUGUUUUUAAACCACUAUUGCUAGUGAUAAAAUUUACCUGUUCAUAGAUAAGCAAUUGAUUAAAUUGAGACAUACACUGGACCUCCAUAUACUCUCCCAAAAUAUAUUGCCACUGGACCUAGUUUGAUUCUUUAAUAACUUAAUGCUUAUCAUUACAGGGUUAUCUUGAUCCAGAAUACUACUUGACACAACAGUUGAGUGACAAAAGUGAUGUUUAUAGCUUUGGAGUGGUUAUGUUAGAACUGAUAACUGCUAAACAACCACUUGAGAAAGGAAAGUACAUUGUCCGUGAGGUGAAGAUGGCGAUAAAUGCAGAUGAUGAAGAAUUCUAUGGUUUAAAAGAGUUGAUGGAUCAUGCAAUCCAAAACGCAGCUUAUCUCAUAGCUUUCAGGAAGUUUGCAGAGUUGGCCUUGAGGUGUUUAGAAGAGUCAGCUGGAGAUCGUCCAUCAAUGAGUGAUGUUGUGAAGGAAAUCGAGAUAAUGUUGAAUGCUGAUGGUCUAAGUACAAACUCAAAUUCAGCAUCUUCAUCUGCCACAGAUUUUGGAUAUGCAAAAGGCGUUCCUAAACAUCCUUACGAUUCUCAUUCUAGAAAGGAUGUUAGCAGCAGCAAUUCUUUUGAAUACAGUGGUGGAUACACAUUCUCAACAAAACCUGAGCCCAAAUAACAAGGGAUCUCCAUUUCCAAUUAUCUUUUUUAUUUUUGUAUUUGGACAGUACAUAUUCCUCCAAGUGUCAAUGCAUUGCAGAACUACAGAAAAAGAAAAUUCUCAGGCUGCAGGUAACAUUCCAAGCUGUUUUCUCUUGCUUCAUUAACCUCUAAUUCUAAAGCAAUGUUUAUUUUUACUCCCUCGUAUAUUUCUCCUCAGUUCUGUUUUAUUACACGAGCCUGAAUAACAAUUUAUAAUUUAUAUACAUAAAUAAUAUAUACAUAUCGGCUAGAAAACAAAAGGAGGCUUUAUGGUUAAAAUCAAGUUGAUUGCUCCUCAUAAUAAUUUCAACAAGUUUUCGAAAAAGCAUUCACAAUUUUGUAUGUUUUCUAUAUCUAAAUCCAUAUUCAUGUGAAUAAAUAAGAAAAACUUAUUUCUAUCUUCAAACUAUCCAAUUUUAGAAAAGCAAAGCUUUAGUGCAUAGAGUAAAUGACAAGUAAUCAUUCAAAACCUGUUGACAUUGCGGACCAAUUUGUUUCAUUGGAAAUGAACCACCAAAGUGAACUCAAAAUUGAGAGUUGAAUAUAACUCAAAAUUGGAGUUCCAAAAGGCUUGGAGAAAGUAAACCUCGAUGGAAAGCAACAAAACCAUUUAUUAGGAAAUGAAGGGAACAUCAAUUAUUUGGUGAAGAAGAUUUCUGUGAGUACUUCUAUGCGUGCAUGAGGAAGCAUAUCGAGUGUAUACCUGCUCUGUUUUAAGCAGUAUCAACGCAAGCACCACGUCGCCGAACCUUCCUCUCCAUUACCACCAACAUUGCACCGAAAGUAAUCCAACAAACACAGUAGAUGACCGCGGGAAAGAAUAUAAGCGAGUCCGACGGCGCCGACACCGUUCACCUCAUCAUCAGUUUCCUACAUACACCACCAUAAAAGCAACCAACAGUCCACAUUAAGAGACCACAAAAGGGAAUGAACCUCGAAUUGGUGGGACCCGAAGCCGCGGGAUGAGGAGAGGGCAGGAGGAAGGCAUCGACGAGGUUCCGGAUGGCGGUGAGCGGCGGCGUAGGGAAGUCCUGCGGUACCGCAACGUGCUGCUGCCCCCAAGUACGGACCUAGGGACGCGAGGACGCGCACCAACAGGGCGAAGAGCGCGACCGAUGCGGCCGCCGUGGACGGCGUCAGGGUCGUCAUCGAUCAGGGAAACCUUGCGGCACCAAUGCGGAGGCCGAGAUGAUGCCCGAUGGACAAUGUAACUGUCGAUCUCGUUCGUCUCUCGAAGGUUCGAAUUGGCUGCAUUUGGCGCACGGUUCGGUCCGGUUCGAUUCCGGAAAAAAAAACCGGAAGCAAUUUAUAUUUAAGAAAAA